rnacentral:rRNA from 1 species
UUGUUGGUAAGGUAAAAGCUUACCAAGGCUUCGACCAGUAGCUGGUCUGAGAGGACGACCAGCCACACUGGGACUGAGACACGGCCCAGACUCCUACGGGAGGCAGCAGUGGGGAAUUUUGGACAAUGGGGGCAACCCUGAUCCAGCCAUGCCGCGUGAGUGAAGAAGGCCUUCGGGUUGUAAAGCUCUUUCAGCCGGAACGAAACGGUUACGGUUAACACCCGUGACUACUGACGGUACCGGAAGAAGAAGCACCGGCUAACUACGUGCCAGCAGCCGCGGUAAUACGUAGGGUGCGAGCGUUAAUCGGAAUUACUGGGCGUAAAGCGUGCGCAGGUGGUUUUGUAAGUCAGAUGUGAAAGCCCCGGGCUCAACCUGGGAACUGCGUUUGAAACUACAAGACUAGAGUGUGGCAGAGGGGGGUGGAAUUCCGCGUGUAGCAGUGAAAUGCGUAGAGAUGUGGAGGAACACCGAUGGCGAAGGCGGCCCCCUGGGUCAACACUGACGCUCAGGCACGAAAGCAUGGGGAGCAAACAGGAUUAGAUACCCUGGUAGUCCAUGCCCUAAACGAUGUCAACUAGUUGUCGGGCCUUUACGGGCUUGGUAACGUAGCUAACGCGUGAAGUUGACCGCCUGGGGAGUACGAUCGCAAGAUUAAAACUCAAAUGAAUUGACGGGGACCCGCACAAGCGGUGGAUUAUGUGGAUUAAUUCGAUGCAACGCGAAAAACCUUACCUACCCUUGACAUGUAUCGAAGCCCGCAGAAAAGCGGGGGUGCCCGAAAGGGAACGAUAACACUGGUGCCGCAUGGCUGUCGUCAGCUCGUGUCGUGAGAUGUUGGGUUAAGUCCCGCAACGAGCGCAACCCUUGUCAUUAAUUGCCAUCAUUUAGUUGGGCACUUUAAUGAGACUGCCGG